AUCCCUCAUCACGGAGAACCCCUUUGCUAAGGCGCCCUUUUCUCCCAUUCCUAGGGUCCCGGGGGCACAGAGGAAAACCCCUGGAGCGGACUCUGGAGGCAUGGCUGGUAAACAACUACAGGCGCUUCCAGUUCACCAGGUGCGCGAAGACUCCCAGGGGAGGCAUGGGAGGCUUAACUAAACACGACCUGCUUUGCCUGCAAGCCCGGAGGGAAAAGGCAGGAGGAAACCCAGGAAUCUGCAUGACCCGCAGCAUUAAAAGACCGCAGGAUGAAAGACGUUCUCUCUCUUCGAGCCAAGAUCCCAGGACCUUGCGGCGCCUUCUCUCCCCAAACCAGCAGACUUUCCUGACAGACCCCAGACUCCGAAGGCCUCGAACCUGGGUUUUGAGGAAACGAAUACUAAUGGGGCCCAGCCCCGCGAAGACCGUUAAAAAGUAAUCUUCACGUGGAGGGGAUGGGAAGAGAACACUCCCGUCAGGACAAGGUUCCACGCACAGCACUGAGCAAGUCAAGGGAUCCCAUCAAUCAAAAAAUUUUCCUCUACAAGGAGGAGGCAGUGUUCUCAGAACCACAGCAAAAAGCUGGUGGAGAACAAAAUGGGCUCUGGAUCUCCGCCAGACCCAGGCUGAGGGCUGGUGCUGGAGGAUCUGGCAAGAUGUGGGAGAACCGUAGGAACUGGUACGCACUGGUGCCUUUUGUGUGGAGAUCCUUAAUCUUGCUGGAAUAUUCCAUUAAGUCCCUGAUAAUGCAGCUGGCUUCUCCCUGAAUCUUAAUGUUCUUUUGAUGGGUGGCUGAAAUCCGACCUCUUGUUGAAAUAAGCCUCUUUAGUGGGGUUUCCAGAGACCAGGGUUCCUCAGGUGUGACAACGGCUCUGUGCAUAGCAUCAACUGAAGCCUGCUGCACGUUGCUGCUGGGGGCCUGGGGGAAACAAAGGGACUCGGGCAACUGUAAAGCUCCUGCCGUCCCCAGGAAGCGUGUAGAAUGUGGCAGGUCUCCUCCUUAGCUUGCAAGUGAGCUACAGUCUCCGACUCCAUGGUUCUUGAUGACUUUAUAAUGAGCGUGGGAUGCUGAAAACGUGGCUUUCUGGGAAGGAAAGGACCGACCCUUUGCAGGCUGGGUUAGGGGAUGGGAGAGGCAAACCCCUGGGAUCUGGUAGCAAGUGCUCUUGCCCAAGUGGGGGUGUGUUAAGAGUCUCCCUCUGUCCUACCUGUGAAGGAGCCUGACUGGGCUAGGUGGGAUUGAAACCUGAAGCCCAAAUAGUGCUUCUGCUGGCUGCUCACUCCUGCACUGCGAGGUGCUACGAGCAGCUGCUGGACUGCUGGGAACCAUACGUGGGCCUUGCUUCCUGUACACAGCUGCUCUUGCAGUCAUUCCUGUAUCCCUCCCACCAGCCACUUUGAAGAAAAAGCCAAGUAUGUUAGGGAACAUUGGGUGGGGACAGGGUGGUGGCUCUGUUGGCCACAGGCACCGAAGUCUCCAUCCUACUUGGUCAUGGGCAAGAAGGGAUGCCUGGAUUGGGUUCAAGGUCAAGGGGGAGAGAAACCUGUGUGAUCUUGUGUGGGGGGUCCUUUGGACCGACUCCGUAGGCUUUCCUUGUUGUGUCUACAUCUGACUGUAGGAGUUUUUUUAAAAUUUAUUCCAUCUUCUAAGUGUACUACAUAAUUCUCAUCUGACCCAUCCCCCCACCCCCCCCACCCCCCCCUCUGCUAACCAUCAGUUCUUAAUGAAGAGUCUCUUUUCCUUUGCUCACUCGUUUCAUAAAUCCCCCAUGAAUGAGAUCUGGUGUUUCUGACUUCCCUUUCUUCUCAUGUACUCCGUAGCUCUAUCCAUG